rnacentral:rRNA from 1 species
UACGUAGGGUCCGAGCGUUUGUCCGGAAUUACUGGGCGUAAAGAGCUCGUAGGUGGUUUGUCGCGUUGUUCGUGAAAACUCACAGCUCAACUGUGGGCGUGCGGGCGAUACGGGGCAGACUAGAGUGCGGUAGGGGAGACUGGAAUUCCUGGUGUAGCGGUGAAAUGCGCAGAUAUCAGGAGGAACACCGGUGGCGAAGGCGGGUCUCUGGGCCGUAACUGACGCUGAGGAGCGAAAGCAUGGGGAGCGAACGGG